GGGCGGCAGGUCUACACAUGCAGUCGAGCGAGAACUAACUUCGGUUAGCGGAAAGCGGCGCACGGGUGAGUAACGCGUGGGAAUUUACCUAUCGGUGGGGGACAACAGUUGGAAACGACUGCUAAUACCGCAUACGCCCUAAGGGGGAAAGAUUUAUCGCCGAUAGAUAGGCCCGCGUUAGAUUAGGUGGUUGGUAGAGUCAUAGCCUACCAAGCCGACGAUCUAUAGCUGGUUUGAGAGAACGAUCAGCCACACUGGAACUGAGACACGGUCCAGACUCCUACGGGAGGCAGCAGUGGGGAAUCUUGCACAAUGGGCGAAAGCCGGAUGCAGCCAUGCCGCGUGAGUGAGAAGGCCUUCGGGUUGUCAAACUCUUUUGGAUGUGAGAUGAUGACGGUAACAUCAGAAAAAGCCCCGGCAAACUUCGUGCCAGCAGCCGCGGUAAUACGAAGGGGGCUAGCGUUGUUCGGAAUUACUGGGCGUAAAGAGCGUGUAGGCGGUUAUGUUAGUUAGUGGUGAAAGCCCAGAGCUUAACUCUGGAAUAGCCUUUAAUACUGCAUAACUUGAGAUCGUGAGGGGAUAGCGGAAUACCCAGUGUAGAGGUGAAAUUCGUAGAUAUUGGGUAGAACACCAGUGGCGAAGGCGGCUAUCUGGCACGAUACUGACGCUGAGACGCGAAAGCGUGGGGAGCAAACAGGAUUAGAUACCCUGGUAGUCCACGCCGUAAACGAUGUACACUAGCCGUUGGACCCUGAGUUCAGUGGUGCCGCUAACGCAUUAAGUGUACCGCCUGGGGAGUACGGUCGCAAGAUUAAACUCAAGGAAUGACGGGGGCCCGCACAAGCGGUGGAGCAUGUGGUUUAAUUCGAAA
rnacentral:rRNA from 1 species